rnacentral:rRNA from 1 species
UACGAAGGGGACUAGCGUUGUUCGGAAUUACUGGGCGUAAAGGGCUCGUAGGCGGCCAACUAAGUCGGACGUGAAAUCCCUCAGCUUAACUGGGGAACUGCGUCCGAUACUGGAUGGCUUGGAUUCGGGAGAGGGAUGCGGAAUUCCAGGUGUAGCGGUGAAAUGCGUAGAUAUCUGGAGGAACACCGGUGGCGAAGGCGGCAUCCUGGACCGAUAUUGACGCUGAGGAGCGAAAGCCAGGGGAGCAAACGGG